AUGUUAAAAUUCAAGUACUUACUGGACAAACUUUACCUUGUUAAAUUAUAUCAACCACACUCACAUCAACAAAUGAAUUAUUCAGAAGAAGAAAAUCUCAUGAUUAAGACCAUUCAUUCAUCAUUCAUCACAAGGACAAUUAGUUACUCACCAAAUUUUCAGUUAAUUAGAUUCAAAAUAAAAGGGGAGAUCCAAGAUAAACAAACUUUAAAAAUUUAUUCAUAA